AAAUGUAUUCUUGGUUCUUGCAGGAGAAAUUCCUUGAGCAAUUUUGUGAAGAUGGAUAUAAAUCCUCUGUGAAGGACCGCAAGAAAUCGCUUAGUUACAAGCACCUGUCAACAGUUGUUCGUGAACGGAGGAGAUAUGACUUUCUAUCAGAUUAUGUCCCUGAGAAAAUAAAAGCUGAAGAUGCAUUGAAGGAGAGGAAUUUGACUGAGACUGGGGCAGUAUAGGAGCUUGGAAUACAUACAAACAGAGACGAUGAUCUGGCACUGGCCUGGUUUAAAAGCAGCUUGGACACAAUCAAGCUCUUGUCAUUGGCUUGUUUUUCAUUGUCAGUUGAAAGAGGGUACUGCAGUGGCGUAACUUCUUUCACUAACAUGGAUUUGAUCCAUGAGUCGGUGUACCUCUUUAUAACAUGUAUCCCAGCUUGAAUUAAUGCAUGUCCAUAUUGGAGACUUUUUGCAUACUCAGCUGGUGAACUAAUGAAUCUUUUGCAAUCAAGAUAAUGGCUAGCCAGAAAGACAUUUUGCCUGGUUCAAAUAUAGUUGGGAAA